rnacentral:sRNA from 1 species
UCAACGGUUUCUUAAACAGACGGCUGUGUCUCUCUUUAGCCUAUCGUAAGUGAGCGCGUAACGUAGUACCUACCAUCCGUGUAUCGUGGCCAGUGUCGUGUCUUUCGUUAGCAGCAAGCGCGCUUUGCUAUUAAGUGUGUGUUUUAGUGAAUUUCACCAAACCAAUGUGAAAGAAAAGUGAGCAAAAUUCAGGGAAAAAUUAAUGAAAAGUGUAAACAAAUACAAUUUUUUACAAAAACAAAUAUAUAACAAACGACCCAUCCUCCAUUGCUUCCUGACAAUUUCCGGCGCAACCAUUAGCAACAAGUGACCACACGGAUAUGUGCCACAUGCACUGAAUUCAUUAUUGCAACAGAUAUAGAAAAACACGCUCUGUCCAAAAUAUGGAAAAAGAGAAGAAAAGUAUGGAACAUUAAAAAAAAGAAGAAAU